UACGGGGGGGGCAAGCGUUGUUCGGAAUUACUGGGCGUAAAGGGUUCGUAGGUGGCCUGCUAAGUCAGACGUGAAAUCCCUCAGCUUAACUGGGGAACUGCGUCUGAGACUGGUGGGCUUGAGUGCAGGAGAGGAAGGCGGAAUUCUCGGUGUAGAGGUGAAAUUCGUAGAUAUCGAGAGGAACACCGGUGGCGAAGGCGGCCUCUGGACAGUGACUGACGCUGAGACGCGAAAGCGUAGGGGAGCGAACGGG
rnacentral:rRNA from 1 species